AUUCGCUGCCUUGCGCCUAUGGUUUUCGGGAUAGGCUUCGCCCCCACCCCGACACAAGCAACAUGGAUGGUGAAUGAAUGUUCUUACAGUUUCCUGAUACCCAAACUAUUUCUAUAGGUAAUGAAAUGGCAUGUUGCGUUUCUAGGUGUGCAAAUAACAGAGCAUCUUUACAGCUUUAAGACUACUUUUCUAUAACAUUUAUUGGCAAUUUUGCAUUACGAUUUGAAAUCUGAGAAAUGCAAGGGAUGAUAACUUUUAAUGUAAUGAAAUAAUAUUGCAACAUGGAUGGAUGAAAGAGUAAAUAAAAUUCCCGGAUGGGAAUUCCAGUGUUAACGGGACCUUAACAUUAAUAUUUUGAAAAUAUCUCCCGAGAUCCACAUGUCACGUGCGGACUGCUCGUAGCCAGUAGCCUAAUUUGUGUUAUUUAAUCUGUCACUGGUUUGAAAUGCUUAAUUGUCAUAUGGCUCAUGGGUCAACUUUAUUGUCUUUAUAACUAAUAACUUUAUCAUUUUAAUUAUUCAUCCGUACAAUCGCAGUGUAACACAAUAGAAACAGUGAAUAUAGAUACAUGCCACGAUUGCUAUGAAACUGAUUAUAGAUCUUACUAUGUCACUGACUGUGGCUCUAGAUAAUGAUCGGGUAAACACUCCCCCCCCUCCCCCAUACCUGAGUACUAUGCUGAAGUGUAUCUGCUUGAAGGGAACCGAAGGGGCGUGGCAUCAUGAGCUGACUGUCGGUGCCCUUUUUUGUCCCUUAAAUCGUGCGGUAGCAGCGAUAUUGAUAGAAAGAUUUAAGAGUGAAGCUUGUUGUUGAGCUGUUGCUUGUUUCAUGCAGGUUUACGGGAGAUUCAACAUGUCUGAAGCAGCGACCCCUAAGAUGGACCUAGAUGCAGACUUUGUGUACGACUAUCGGACACUACGUAUUGGAGGCCUGGUCUUUGCUGGGGUCAUUGUAUUCCUGUCAAUCCUCCUGCUUGCUG